UACGUAGGGGGCGAGCGUUGUCCGGAUUUAUUGGGCGUAAAGAGCGUGUAGGCGGCCCGCUUAGUCCGCUGUGAAAGUCCAGGGCUCAACCCUGGAAUGCCGGUGGAUACUGUCGGGCUAGAGUCCGGAAGGGGCGAGUGGAAUUCCUGGUGUAGCGGUGAAAUGCGCAGAUAUCAGGAAGAACACCUAUGGCGAAGGCAGCUCUCUGGGACGGUACUGACGCUGAGACGCGAAAGCGUGGGGAGCGAACAGG
rnacentral:rRNA from 1 species